rnacentral:rRNA from 1 species
GACGAACGCUGGCGGCGUGCUUAACACAUGCAAGUCGAACGGUGAAGCGCCUUCCUUUUUGGUGGGUGUGGAUGAGUGGCGAACGGGUGAGUAACACGUGAGUAACCUGCCCCCUUCUUCUGGAUAACCGCAUGAAAGUGUGGCUAAUACGGGAUAUUCUGGGUCUGUCGCAUGAUGGGUCUGGGAAAGAUAUUGUUUCGGUGGGGGAUGGGCUCGCGGCCUAUCAGCUUGUUGGUGGGGUGAUGGCCUACCAAGGCGGUGACGGGUAGCCGGCCUGGGAGGGUGGACGGUCACACUGGGACUGAGACACGGCCCAGACUCCUACGGGGGGCAGCAGUGGGGAAUAUUGCACAAUGGGAGCAAGGCUGAUGCAGCGACGCCGCGUGAGGGAUGGAGGCCUUCGGGUUGUGAACCUCUUUCGCCAGUGAAGCAGGCCUGCCUCGUUUGUGGGUGGGUUGACGGUAGCUGGAUAAGAAGCGCCGGCUAACUACGUG